rnacentral:rRNA from 1 species
GAUGAACGCUGGCGGCGUGCCUAAUACAUGCAAGUCGAGCGAACGGACGAGAAGCUUGCUUCUCUGAUGUUAGCGGCGGACGGGUGAGUAACACGUGGAUAACCUACCUAUAAGACUGGGAUAACUUCGGGAAACCGGAGCUAAUACCGGAUAAUAUUUUGAACCGCAUGGUUCAAAAGUGAAAGACGGUCUUGCUGUCACUUAUAGAUGGAUCCGCGCUGCAUUAGCUAGUUGGUAAGGUAACGGCUUACCAAGGCAACGAUGCAUAGCCGACCUGAGAGGGUGAUCAGCCACACUGGAACUGAGACACGGUCCAGACUCCUACGGGAGGCAGCAGUAGGGAAUCUUCCGCAAUGGGCGAAAGCCUGACGGAGCAAUGCCGCGUGAGUGAUGAAGGUCUUCGGAUCGUAAAGCUCUGUUAUUAGGGAAGAACAUAUGUGUAAGUAACUGUGCACAUCUUGACGGUACCUAAUCAGAAAGCCACGGCUAACUGCGUG